rnacentral:rRNA from 1 species
GAUGAACGCUAGCGGGAGGCCUAACACAUGCAAGCCGAGCGGUAUUGUUUCUUCGGAAAUGAGAGAGCGGCGUACGGGUGCGUAACACGUGUGCAACCUGCCUUUAUCUGGGGGAUAGCCUUUCGAAAGGAAGAUUAAUACUCCAUAAUAUAUUGAACGGCAUCGUUUAAUAUUGAAAGCUCCGGCGGAUAGAGAUGGGCACGCGCAAGAUUAGCUAGUUGGUGAGGUAACGGCUCACCAAGGCGAUGAUCUUUAGGGGGCCUGAGAGGGUGAUCCCCCACACUGGUACUGAGACACGGACCAGACUCCUACGGGAGGCAGCAGUGAGGAAUAUUGGUCAAUGGGUGCAAGCCUGAACCAGCCAUCCCGCGUGAAGGACGACUGCCCUAUGGGUUGUAAACUCCUUUUGUAUAGGGAUAAACCUACCCUCGAGAGGGUAGCUGAAGGUACUAUACGAAUAAGCACCGGCUAACUCCGUG